rnacentral:rRNA from 1 species
GGCGCACGGGUGCGUAACGCGUAUGCAACCUACCUUCAACUGGGGAAUAGCCCCUCGAAAGAGGGAUUAAUACCCCAUAGUAAUUAGAUAAGGCAUCUUAUUUAGUUUAAAGUUCCGGCGGUUGAAGAUGGGCAUGCGUGACAUUAGCUAGUUGGUGAGGUAACGGCUCACCAAGGCUACGAUGUCUAGGGGUUCUGAGAGGAUGAUCCCCCACACUGGUACUGAGACACGGACCAGACUCCUACGGGAGGCAGCAGUAAGGAAUAUUGGUCAAUGGACGCAAGUCUGAACCAGCCAUGCCGCAUGAAGGAUGACGGCCCUAUGGGUUGUAAACUUCUUUUGUACGGGAAUAAACCCUUCUAUGUGUAGAAGGCUGAAUGUACCGUAAGAAUAAGGAUCGGCUAACUCCGUGCCAGCAGUCGCGGUAAUACGGAGGAUCCAAGCGUUAUCCGGAUUCAUUGGGUUUAAAGGGUGCGUAG